UAGGACGAACGCUGGCGGCGUGCUUAACACAUGCAAGUCGAGCGGUAAGGCCCUCGGGGUACACGAGCGGCGAACGGUGAGUAACACGUGAGCAACCUGCCCCUGACUCCGGGAUAAGCGGUGGAAACGCCGUCUAAUACCGGAUACGACCCCCGGGUGCAUGCCCGAGGGUGGAAAGUUUUUUCGGUCAGGGAUGGGCUCGCGGCCUAUCAGCUUGUUGGUGGGGUAAAGGCCUACCAAGGCGAUUACGGGUAGCCGGCCUGAGAGGGCGACCGGCCACACUGGGACUGAGACACGGCCCAGACUCCUGCGGGAGGCAGCAGUGGGGAAUCUUGCGCAAUGGGCGAAAGCCUGACGCAGCGACGCCGCGUGGGGGAUGACGGCCUUCGGGUUGUAAACCUCUUUUACCACUCACGCAGGCCCGGGGUUUUCUCCGGGUUGACGGUAGGUGGGGAAUAAGGACCGGCUAACUACGUGCCAGCCGCGGC
rnacentral:rRNA from 1 species